rnacentral:rRNA from 1 species
GACGAACGCUGGCGGCGUGCCUAAUACAUGCAAGUUGAGCGCUGAAGGUUGGUACUUGUACCAACUGGAUGAGCAGCGCACGGGUGAGUAACGCGUGGGGAAUCUGCCUUUGAGCGGGGGACAACAUUUGGAAACGAAUGCUAAUACCGCAUAAAAACUUUAAACACAAGUUUUAAGUUUGAAAGAUGCAAUUGCAUCACUCAAAGAUGAUCCCGCGUUGUAUUAGCUAGUUGGUGAGGUAAAGGCUCACCAAGGCGAUGAUACAUAGCCGACCUGAGAGGGUGAUCGGCAACAUUGGGACUGAGACACGGCCCAAACUCCUACGGGAGGCAGCAGUAGGGAAGCUUCGGCAAUGGACGAAAGUCUGACCGAGCAACGCCGCGUGAGUGAAGAAGGUUUUCGGAUCGUAAAACUCUGUUGGUAGAGAAGAACGUUGGUGAGAGUGGAAAGCUCAUCAAGUGACGGUAACUACCCAGAAAGGGACGGCUAACUACGUG